rnacentral:lncRNA from 1 species
CUUUAUUUUUUUUAUACUACAGAUCAACUUGAACGUGUAUUCUUACGUCUUGGCCAUGCAGAAACAGAUGAGCAGUUACAGAAUAUUAUAUCCAAAUUCCUACCCCCUGUCCUGCUCAAACUGUCCAGCACGCAGGAAGGAGUGCGUAAAAAGGUCAUGGAGCUCCUAGUUCACUUGAAUAAACGCAUCAAAAGUCGUCCAAAAAUUCAACUUCCAGUAGAGACUUUACUAGUCCAAUACCAAGAUCCCGCUGCAGUUUCCUUUGUCACCAAUUUUACUAUAAUUUAUGUUAAGAUGGGUUACCCUCGUUUGCCUGUGGAAAAACAAUGUGAAUUGGCGCCUACUCUCCUCACUGCAAUGGAAGGGAAACCACAACCACAGCAAGACAGCCUAAUGCAUCUUCUAAUACCAACCCUUUUUCACAUGAAAUAUCCUGUUGAACCAUCGAAAGCAGCUUCUCCAUUUAAUCUUGCCGAAAAACCAAAGACUGUACAGCUGCUCUUGGAGUUUAUGUUGGAUGUGCUCCUUAUGCCUUAUGGAUACGUACUGAAUGAAUCCCAGAGUCGCCAAAACGUGCCAUCGGCACAGGGCUCUUCUGCAUCCAGUAGUGCUGGAAGUUCGGGGAUCCCUCAACCUCCUCCAGGGAUGAGCUUUUACGCAGCCAAGCGGGUAAUUGGAGAUAGCCCAUGGACACCUGAACAGCUGGAACAGUGUAAACUGGGAAUAGUAAAGUUCAUUGAAGCUGAGCAGGUACCAGAGCUUGAAGCCGUCAUACACCUGGUAAUAGCCUCCAGCGACACACGACACAGUGUAGCCACUGCGGCAGACCUGGAACUGAAAAGCAAACAAAGCUUAAUUGACUGGAAUAAUCCUACUAUCGUCAACAAAAUGUACAAAGUGUACCUCGGGGAUAUACCACUGAAAACUAAAGAGGGAGUUGUUCUGAAGCCAGAACUGAAACGAGAUCCAGUCAGCACCCGGGUUAAAUUAAAGAUUGUUCCUCAUCUUCUGCGUUCCAGACAAGCUGCAGAAACAUUCCCAGCUAACAUUCAGGUGGUAUAUGAUGGACUCUUUGGUGCAAAUACAAACACGAAACUGAGAACUCUGUCCCUGCAGUUUGUACAUCAUAUUUGUACAAGUUGUCCAGAAAGUAAAAUAAAGCCACUAGGCCCAAUGCUUUUAAAUGGGCUUACGAAACUGAUUAAUGAAUACAAAGAGGACCCCAAACUGCUGUCAAUGGCCUAUUCAGCUGUUGGAAAACUGUCCAGUCGAAUGCCUCAGCUGUUUACCAAGGACAUAGCUCUUGUCCAGCAGUUUUUUGAAGCUUUGUGCAAGGAAGAGCCCGAUACCAGACUUGCUAUUCAGGAGGCCUUGUCUAUGAUGGUUGGAGCAUAUAGUAGUUUGGAAGGAGCACAGCGUACGCUUAUGGAGGCUCUUGUGGCUUCAUACCUAAUAAAGCCUGAAGUCCAAGUGCGUCAGGUGGCCGUGAAAUUUGCAAGCACAGUGUUCCCUUCAGAUCACAUCCCUUCCAGAUACUUACUGCUUUUAGCUGCAGGAGAUCCACGAGAGGAGGUGCAUGGAGAAGCCCAGCGCGUACUGAGAAUGUUUCCUGGUAAAAAUGAAAAGGAGAGUGCUGGUAAACAGAUGCCUUCCUUCCCAGAAAUGGUCCAUUACAUUCAAGACAAGGCCUCUCACCGAAUGAAAACUCCUGCUAAAUACAUGACCGGAACUGCAGUCCUGCCUUUCAAUCCUGCUACGUUUGGAGAGAUAGUCCUGUACCUGCGAAUGUGUCUUGCGCAUAGCGCAGGUGUGGUGCCAUCCUCUCAGAACUUAGCUGACAUGCAAGACCAUGCUCCAGCAAUUGGCCGUUAUAUCAGAAACCUCCUGUCUGGCAACUUCAUAUCUUCCUCCUCAUCGUCAUCUUCCUCAAAAAGUGGAGAAACCAACCCAGUGCAAAUCUAUAUUGGCCUUCUUCAGCAGCUGUUGUCUGGGGUUGGAGGUUUGCCAGUCAUGUAUUGUCUUCUAGAAGUUGUUUCGGUGUAUCCAGAAAAACUAGCUACCAGAUUUGCAGACAAAAUAGAUUGGAUAAAGAGUCUGAUGAAUACAAACAAGGAAGAGAUGCGUGAGCUGGCAGCACUGUUGUAUUCUGUAGUGUUGUCUACAAUGUCUGGAAAUGAACUGAAGUCCUCUGUACAGCAACUGAUCAAGACAGCAAAAGACAAUCAUAACCCGGAGAUCCAACAUGGAUCCUUGUUGGCUUUGGGAUUCACAGUAGGAAGGUACCUGGCCAAAAGGAAAACCAGAAUGAUGGAGAUGCAUGACAUUGAAGAGCCAAAUAUUGUUGUCAUGCCAGAACAAGACCAGCUCAUAAAGACCACAACAGAAACAAUAGGUUCCUUUUUGGACAGCACCUCUCCGCUCCUGGCAGUUGCUGCUUGUACAGCACUGGGGGAAAUUGGCAGGAACGGCCCCUUGCCAAUUCCCAACGAAGGCACCGGGUUUACAAAGCUGCAUCUUGUUGAGAGUUUACUGACCAGAAUCCCUUCUGGCAAGGAAACAAAUAAGAUGAAAGAACGAGCGAUACAAACACUGGGUUACUUUCCAGUGGGAGAUGGAGACUUUCCCCACCAGAAACUACUGUUGCAAGGACUAAUGGAUUCUGUGGAGGUAAGUUAA